AUGCCAGAAGAAGGGUGGGGAAUCCCUGAGGGAAGUGCCCUGCACUGUCUGAAGCUACUACUUCUGUCUAGGACCUCUUAUCUACAGGGACACUCAGCUGGCCACAGGUCUGGUCCUUGCUUAAAAAUGGGCACUGCUGAGAACUGUUUUCUGCUCCCCAGAGUUGGUGGUAAUGCUUUUUCUUUGUUUCUCCACAGUACCCACUCCCCUCUAUAUAAUGUUUAGUACACACUUUUCCAAAUUGGUCUUUUUCAUUGUCUUCCCAACCUGGCAGUGUGAUCCUGUGUUAAUCUGUUUGGUCAAUGUGGUAAAUGUACAAUAGAAAUGACCUUAAAGGGGAAUGAUUUAAUCCUGCUGGAUAUCAGAGGUUACAAUCAGCACUAAUUGUGGCAUUCAGGAAACAGAGAUAACCUGUGCUAGCUGAUUUUUUUCUUGGAUCAUCCCAAGAUGUUUUUACCCACACUCAUGUUAAGUUUUACCUCUUUCACUAUUUGUCUUUUUUAGGAAUUUUAUUGCUGUGAAGAGACAUUGUGACCAUGGCAACUCUUAUAAGGAUAACAUUUAAUUAAGGGCCUUGCUUAUAGUUUCAGAGGUUCAAUCCAUUAUCAUCAUGGUGCGAAGCUUGGUGGCAUGCAGGCAGAUAUUCUGGAGGAACUAAGAGUCCUACAGCUUGCACGCAACAGGAAGUUGACUGAGGCAUCUGUAUCCUGAACAUAGGAAAUAUCAAAGCCCACCCCCUACAGUGACCCACUUCCUAUAACAAAGCCAUACCUCCUAAUAGUGCCACUCCCUGUGAGAUUAUGGGGGCCAAUUACAUUUAAAUUACCACACUAAGCCUCUCAGAGACCCCUCAUUAAGCUGAAAGGACUGAAAAGCUAACUUCACACAUGCUUCUCUGCCCACUAAAAAUUAUCAUCAAGAUGAAACCUCACAGAUUCUCAAAGAAGGAACAGGAAAUAUUCACAGAUAUGGUCUAGCACUUAGCACAUAGGUUUCCCAUGGAAAUUCUUAUUGAAUAAGAAAGGGAGUGGUGGCCGGGCGUUGGUGGCACAUGCCUUUG
rnacentral:lncRNA from 1 species